rnacentral:lncRNA from 1 species
CUUGACAUGUUUGCAGUUGCCUGACUGUGCAGUUUUCCCCUUCUCCUGCAGAAACCAAACAAACAACAACACUCUCCUGUUGAAGAAUCCAAGUCAGGAUCUGUAUUUAACUCCUCUCCCCUGUGUAUGUACAAAGGCAUUACCUAUUUACUGUGUAAUUAGGUUUCCUCCUUCAGGAACUGAGGCCGACAAGCCUAUUUAAUCUUUCAUAUUGGCACAGUGAUAACUUCUUUUUAAAUAUUUUAUAUUGUUGUACUGAUAAAGAACAUAAGACAAAACUUGGCAUGAACACAGUCCAGAGGAGAAUCUGCUUAAAAAUAAAACACUUGGGAGAAUGGAAGGAAACAAGUAGCCAUGUGGCUGAAAACAAAAUUAAUUUAAGGAGCUGGGCAAAAAUUUGCUUUAUGGUAAUGAAAGCUCAGGUUCUGCAGGACUUGGAAGUUGCCAAGUACCACGAUUUGACAAGAAGAUCACCAGAGCCAGCUGCAGGGCUGAUGCUUACCAAGAACACAGGAAGGAAAACAAUGCCAACACAGCCCAUUAGCCAAGAGUCUGGUAGUAAGAAGCCCUGCCAAAACAUGCAGUGCCCAAAAGCUUGCAAACCUAGCCUGAGCCAGCAGCAAGGACUCAUCUCUUCAGGGGUAGGACUGGAUGAUGAUAUUUACUAUUUCCUUAGCAUGAGAUUAGUCCCUUUAUUUAAUUUUGAAAAAGAAGUUUGUCAUAACUCUCCAUCACAGAAAAUGAAAGGUUUAAGGUACUGCUGACACCUCCUGGAAAACUUUGAAAAACCUCCUAGGUCACAUGAAAAUAAAGCAAUGCCUCUAUCACGCUUUUGCCUGCUCUUUUAAUCCUUGCUACAGGACUUUUCGUGUAGGUCCGUCAGCCAAGGUUAAAAAACCAAACUUAUAAACAAGACAAAAAUGAUUAUUACUACAGUUAGCAAUUUGUUCCAGAUCUUGUUCUUCCACGCUACAUUCUCUCU